GGUGAAUAAUCCUUUACCAUCGUAUUUUCAAAGAAACGCAUGAACGUGUUAUGCUAUUUCAGUCAGUCUCACUACAAAAAGUACUGAGGUCGACUGAAGCAGCAUGAUAAACACGAACGUUUCCGAGAAAAUACGAUGGCAAAGGAUUGUUCACUACAUCUGUAUAGACUAUAGGUGACCUUAGCCAUUUGACAAACCCUGAAAUCCCACGUAGGGUUACUUCUCAGGAAUGCUCUAACGUUAAUAUUUUUUUAAUUAGAACAAAAGAUAUAAAUUUUCAAACAAAAAUUAAUUCCAAU